GAUGAACGCUAGCUGCAGGCUUAACACAUGCAAGUCGCGGGGCAGCAUGGGGCUUGCUUGCAAUCCCCGCUGCCGACCGGUGCAUGGGUGAGUAACGCGUAUCCAACCUGCCCUUCACCACGGGGUAACCGGGCGCAAGUCGGGCUAAUACCGUAUGUUGUCCAUUGACGGCAUCCGAUUUGGCCGAAUGGCUUGGCGGCGAAGGUCGGGGUUGCGUCCGAUUAGCUGGACGGCGGGGCAAGGGCCCACCGUGGCGACGGUCGGAGUGGGUUCUGAGGGGAAGGUCCCCCACACUGGAGCUGAGGCACGGUCCAGACUCCUACGGGGGGCAGCAGUGAAGAAUAUUAUGCGAUGGGCGUAAGCCUGAACCAGCCAAGUAGCGGGCAGAAUGACGGCCCUAUGAGUGGUAAACUGCUUUUAUGGGAGGAUAAAAUGGCACUCGUGUGGUGUUUUGCAGUUACCGCAUGAAUAAGGACCGGCUAAUUCCGUG
rnacentral:rRNA from 1 species